rnacentral:rRNA from 1 species
GACGAACGCUGGCGGCGUGCUUAACACAUGCAAGUCGAGCGGAAAGGCCUUUCGGGGUACUCGAGCGGCGAACGGGUGAGUAACACGUGAGUAACCUGCCCUGGACUUUGGGAUAACCCUCGGAAACGGGGGCUAAUACCGGAUAUGACCUGGUGCCGCAUGGUGGUGGGUGGAAAGUUUUUCGGUUUGGGAUGGACUCGCGGCCUAUCAGCUUGUUGGUGGGGUAAUGGCCUACCAAGGCGACGACGGGUAGCCGGCCUGAGAGGGCGACCGGCCACACUGGGACUGAGACACGGCCCAGACUCCUACGGGAGGCAGCAGUGGGGAAUAUUGCACAAUGGGCGGGAAGCCUGAUGCAGCGACGCCGCGUGAGGGAUGACGGCC